rnacentral:rRNA from 1 species
UACGUAGGGGGCAAGCGUUGUCCGGAUUUACUGGGUGUAAAGGGUGCUCAGGCGGAUCUGUAAGUCAGUGGUGAAAUCCCGGAGCUUAACUCCGGAACUGCCAUUGAUACUGCAGGCCUCGAGUUCGGGAGAGGUUGAUGGAAUAUCUGGUGUAGCAGUGAAAUGCGUAGAUAUCAGAUAGAACACCAAUGGCGAAGGCAGUCAACUGGCCCGAUACUGACGCUAAAGCACGAAAGUGUGGGGAGCAAACAGGAUUAGAUACCCUGGUAGUCCACACCCUAAACGAUGAGUACUAGACGUUGAGCCUUUUAAGGCCCAGUGUCUGAGCUAACGCAUUAAGUACUCCACCUGGGAAGUACGAUCGCAAGGUUGAA